rnacentral:rRNA from 1 species
GAUGAACGCUGGCGGCGUGCCUAAUACAUGCAAGUCGAGCGAACGGACGAGAAGCUUGCUUCUCUGAUGUUAGCGGCGGACGGGUGAGUAACACGUGGAUAACCUACCUAUAAGACUGGGAUAACUUCGGGAAACCGGAGCUAAUACCGGAUAAUAUUUUGAACCGCAUGGUUCAAAAGUGAAAGACGGUCUUUCUGUCACUUAUAGAUGGAUCCGCGCUGCAUUAGCUAGUUGGUAAGGUAACGGCUUACCAAGGCAACGAUGCAUAGCCGACCUGAGAGGGUGAUCGGCCACAAUGGAAGUGAGGAACGGUCCAGACUCCUACGGGAGGCAGCAGUAGGGAAUCUUCCGGCAUGGGCGGAAGCCUGACGGAGCAACGCCGCGUGAGUGAUGAAGGACUUCGGAUCGUAAAACUCUGUUAUUAGGGAAGAACAUAUGUGUAAGUAACUGUGCACAUCUUGACGGUACCUAAUCAGAAAGCCACGGCUAACUACGUG